rnacentral:rRNA from 1 species
GAGGAGCUAGAGGUAUGCCUUGGGGAGCGGUAAAAUGUGAUAAUCCAAGGUAGACCACCUGCGGCGAAGGCGUCUAGCUAGAACGGAUCCGACAGUGAGGAACGAAGGCCAGGGGAGCGAACCGGAUUAGAUACCCGAGUAGUCCUGGCAGUAAACGCUGUGAGCAAGGUGUUGCGCAUCUCACGAGGAUGCGCAGUGUCGAAAGGAAGCUAUUAAGCUCACCGCCUGGGAAGUACGGUCGCAAGACUGAAACUUUAAGGAAUUGGCGGGGGAGCACCACAAGGGGUGCGGCGUGCGGUUUAAUCUAACUCAACGCAGAGAACCUUACUAGAAGCGACGGCAGGAAGAAAGUCAGCCUGAAGGGCUUACUUGACGAGCCGAGAGGUAGUGCAUGGCCGCCGUCAGCUCGUGCCGUAAGGUGUCCAGUUAAGUCUGGCAACGAGCGAGACCUAUACCUGCUAUUGCUAACGGCCAUAUAUGGGACCGAGCACUUUGCAGGGA